rnacentral:lncRNA from 1 species
AUGGAGGUAAUUCAGUCCUGGAAAGAGUGUUCCCAAAUCUUCAAAGCAGUCCUUCUCUUCUCCUCUUCUUCUUCCUCUUUUUUCUUUCUCCUCCUCUUCUUUUCCUCCUCUCCCUUCUCUUCCUCCUCCUCCUCCCUUCUCUUCCUCCUCCUCCUCCCUUCUCUUCCUCUUCCUCCUCCCUUCUCUUCCUCUUCCUCCUCCCUUCUCUUCCUCUUCCUCCUCCCUUCCUCUUCCUCCUCCUCCUCCCUUCUCUUCCUCCUCCUCCUCCCUUCUCUUCCUCUUCCUCCUCCCUUCUCUUCCUCCUCCUCCUCCCUUCUCUUCCUCUUCCUCCUCCCUUCUCUUCCUCCUCCUCCUCCCUUCUCUUCCUCUCCUCCCUUCUCCUCCUCCUCCUCCUCUCUCCUCUCCCCUCCUUCUCUUCCUCCUCCUCCUCCCUUCUCUUCCUCCUCCUCCUCCUCCUUCUCUUCUCCUCCUCCUCCUCCUUCUCUUCCUCCUCCUCCUCCUCCCUUCUCUUCCUCCUCCUCCUCCUCCCUUCUCUUCCUCCUCCUCCUCCUCCCUUCUCUUCCUCCUCCUCCUCCUCCCUUCUCUUCCUCCUCCUCCUCCUCCCUUCUCUUCCUCCUCCUCCUCCUCCUCCCUUCUCUUCCUCCUCCUCCUCCUCCUUCUCUUCCUCCUCCUCCUCCUCCCCUUCUCUUCCUCCUCCUCCUCCUCCCUUCUCUUCCUCCUCCUCCUCCUCCCUUCUCUUCCUCCUCCUCCUCCUCCCUUCUCUUCCUCCUCCUCCUCCUCCCUUCUCUUCCCUCCUCUCCUCCUUCUCUUCCUCCUCCUGCUCCUCCCUUCUCUUCCUCCUCCUCCUCCUCCCUUCUCUUCCUCCUCCUCCUCCUCCUUCUCUUCUCCUCCUCCUCCUCCCUCUCUUCCUCCUCCUCCUCCCUUCCUCCUCCUCCUCUUCUCUCCCUCCUCCUCCUCCCUUCUCUUCCUCCUCCUCCCUUCUCUUCCUCCUCCUCCUCCUUCUCCUUCCUCCUCCUCCUCCCUUCUCUUCCUCCUCCUCCUCCCUUCUCUUCCUCCUCCUCCUCCCUUCUCUUCCUCCUCCUCCUCCCUUCUCUUCCUCCUCCUCCUCCCUUCUCUUCCUCCUCCUCCUCCCUUCUCUUCCUCCUCCUCCUCCCUUCUCUUCCUCCUCCUCCUCCCUUCUCUUCCUCCUCCUCCUCCCUUCUCUUCCUCCUCCUCCUCCCUUCUCUUCCUCCUCCUCCUCCCUUCUCUUCCUCCUCCUCCUCCCUUCUCUUCCUCCUCCUCCUCCUCCCUUCUCUUCCUCCUCCUCCUCCUCCCUUCUCUUCCUCCUCCUCCUCCUCCCUUCUCUUCCUCCUCCUCCUCCUCCCUUCUCUUCCUCCUCCUCCUCCUCCCUUCUCUCCUCCUCCUCCUCCUCCUUCUCUUCCUCCUCCUCCUCCUUCUCUUCCUCCUCCUCCUCCCUUCUCUUCCUCCUCCUCCUCCUCCCUUCUCUUCCUCCUCCUCCUCCUCCCUUCUCUUCCUCCUCCUCCUCCUCCCUUCUCUUCCUCCUCCUCCUCCUCCCUUCUCUUCCUCCUCCUCCUCCCUUCUCUUCCUCCUCCUCCUCCCUUCUCUUCCUCCUCCUCCUCCCUUCUCUUCCUCCUCCUCCUCCCUUCUCUUCCUCCUCCUCCUCCCUUCUCUUCCUCCUCCUCCUCUCUCUCUUCCUCCUCCUCCUCCCUUCUCUUCCUCCUCCUCCUCCCUUCUCUUCCUCCUCCUCCUCCCUUCUCUUCCUCCUUCUCUGCUUCUUCUUUCCCCCCACCUUCCCACAUUCUAACAGGUAGUAAGAACAGGUAUUGCCCAUUUUACAGAUGA